CAGAGGACUAUUAUUAUCUUAUUCACUGUGUAACUUUAAUUACAGGCAUGACUUCACAAAGACUGAGGUGUGCCCUUCGUUGUACACAAGUGUGUCCCUUAUUGGAGGGCUACAAACCAGAGGGUUUAUGUUUUGAUUUAGAAAAUUUCAUAUAAUGGAAUACGUUCAAGUUCACCUCCCCCAUUUACAUCCCCAACUUCAGUAGAAGAGUCCAGUGUCUCCUCUGAAGGAACCCAGGGCAUCUCAUGCCUUCUGGUAUCAACUCUCAGCACACGGCCCGAGAGAAGUGUGGGCAGCAGCAGGCAGACCGUUGUGAUUGAUUCUUCUCUUAGAGUUGCAGGACUCCGGACUUCUCAUCCCAAGACCAGCCUGAGGCUUUAACCUUAUUAUUGUUAUUUUUUAAAUGGGAACCAUCACUGA